GAUGAACGCUGGCGGCGUGCUUAACACAUGCAAGUCGAACGGAAAGGCCCAAGCUUGCUUGGGUACUCGAGUGGCGAACGGGUGAGUAACACGUGGGUGAUCUGCCCUGCACUUCGGGAUAAGCCUGGGAAACUGGGUCUAAUACCGGAUAGGACCACUUCUUGGAUGUUGUGGUGGAAAGUUUUUUCGGUGUGGGAUGAGCUCGCGGCCUAUCAGCUUGUUGGUGGGGUAAUGGCCUACCAAGGCGUCGACGGGUAGCCGGCCUGAGAGGGUGUACGCCACAUUGGGACUGAGAUACGGCCCAGACUCCUACGGGAGGCAGCAGUGGGGAAUAUUGCACAAUGGGCGCAAGCCUGAUGCAGCGACGCCGCGUGGGGGAUGACGGCCUUCGGGUUGUAAACUCCUUUCGCUAGGGACGAAGCGUUUUGUGACGGUACCUGGAGAAGAAGCACCGGCUAACUACGUG
rnacentral:rRNA from 1 species